GAUGAACGCUGGCGGCGUGCCUAAUACAUGCAAGUCGAGCGAACAGAUGAGGAGCUUGCUCCUCUGACGUUAGCGGCGGACGGGUGAGUAACACGUGGAUAACCUACCUAUAAGACUGGGAUGACUUCGGGAAACCGGAGCUAAUACCGGAUAAUAUAUUGAACCGCAUGGUUCAAUAGUGAAAGACGGUUUUGCUGUCACUUAUAGAUGGAUCCGCGCCGCAUUAGCUAGUUGGUAAGGUAACGGCUUACCAAGGCGACGAUGCGUAGCCGACCUGAGAGGGUGAUCGGCCACACUGGAACUGAGACACGGUCCAGACUCCUACGGGAGGCAGCAGUAGGGAAUCUUCCGCAAUGGGCGAAAGCCUGACGGAGCAACGCCGCGUGAGUGAUGAAGGUCUUCGGAUCGUAAAACUCUGUUAUUAGGGAAGAACAAAUGUGUAAGUAACUAUGCACGUCUUGACGGUACCUAAUCAGAAAGCCACGGCUAACUACGUG
rnacentral:rRNA from 1 species